UCUUGCUGGGUGCCUGGGUUCCUGCCCAUGGAUCUUCGUCGUCGCGCUGAUGGUAAAUUACGCCCCUUUCUCCUCGCGACCUCUCCUCUUCAUCAUGACCUGGAUGGAUCCUAGGUGCCCCGCCGCCCCCGUUUUUGAUCUCCUCAUCGCCGUCGUGGUAUCCCCUCUCGCGCCUCCCGUUAUACUGUCCGCCUCUCGUUCGACCCCUCGGCUUCAUCUCUUAUCUCGUGGGACGAAACCCUACCAUGCUCUAGCAGCGGAGCAACUUCCCUUGCAAUGGGCGUCUGCGCAGUUACAACCGUCAUAUCCGGCGGGCCCAAUCUUAAAAAGUACAGCACCCGCAGCACGGAGCUUCACAGGCCAUCAUUGGCCAGGUUGAGACUGAUUAUAGCGGAUUGAGCCCACACCGAGGUGUUGACAUUUUGACAAUCGCAGGCGGCUGGUCGCUGACGAAGGAAAUGGAACCCAAUGAAGGGAUCCCGAAAGUCCAUGGUACACACAUGUCAGCAACAUUUCUUUGGAAAAAUCACAUAAAAAGGUUAUCUUUUUUGUUCUUGAUGUUUAAUUAAUUCAGAGGAUACAGUAUGUAGUUCUGGACUUUGCUUGAACUCUGCUCUUUUGCUACUUAGGUGGAUCCUAGAUGCUCUUAUUUUGCUCAUGGCCUAAACUUAGCUUUUCAUAAAUGGGUACAGUUAACAACUUAACAUGGCUAAAUGAUUUGCAGGGUCCCAAGAUGUAGUCCACCGAGACAGUAGAAUUGUUCUUAUCUGAUAGGUAAACUACAUAAUCAUUACAUCAGUAGUUGUUUUAGACCUAUCUCAACCAUUGCCAUUGAAAUGUCUAAACAAUGGCAUAGCAUUGUUAUUACCAGUUUUUUAAAGAGAUUCACAUGCAGUAUUAUUUGGGAUAACGCCAAGGAUGUAAUACUACUUACUAGCCAGAGUAUAGUUUAAUUACUGUUACUAGCUAAUUUGGCCAAUCAUACAAUUAUAGUCAGUUCUGCCAGACAAUCCUCAAACAUUUAUAUAGGAGAGCACAUAUACUCCUAUCUGAAAGUUUUGUUACCAAUGAACCUAAGACUCCUUGAGCUGAAUUGCUUUCUUCUGAAGUAAUGGAGACAUAUACAGUUGUAGAUUUGGUCACUUUUUUCUUUGCUGAUUGAUUAUUUAUAUUUGACAUGCUUAUUCCGCAUGGGGUUAGUCAGACCAUCUCUAAGAUUGCAGGGGAGCUAAUACAACGACCUUAUGCAGAAUAUAGGACACAAUCAAGCUCUUUAGCUAAUCUUGCUUGGCUGUAUGGAUUAAUUUCAUGUGGUAAAUUAACUAUUCUGAAAAUGAAAGCUGCAGACCUUGUCAUCAGCAAAAAAAGGUGUUUUGUGAAUGGAAGCAGUGGGUUGAAGUUUAUCUGGAGCAGGGCAUUGUGGCACACCGUGCACUGUCCUAUUCAUCAUUUCAGAGGGUGCCAUCUUGAUGUCUGCAUUCACCCACACCGCCUACUUUAUCUUAGAUCUCCAAUGAAUUGGUAUACUCCAUAUAUUACUGAUGUCCACAGUUUGGCGAAUUUUGAAAAAUGUUAAGCUGCACUCCUGUAAUCUAGCGUUUUCCUAUAUUAUAUCGGUAAUAUAUGUGAACAUGUUUAAUAGUUGGGCAAAAAGUUUCAGUUGAUUGUAACUGCUUCAUCGUAGAAAUAAACAUGCAUAUAUAUGCUACUUCAAUC
rnacentral:lncRNA from 1 species